UAAUGAAUGUGGCUGCCCUUGUAUUUGGAG
rnacentral:piRNA from 1 species